GGCUCAGGAUGAACGCUGGCGGCGUGCUUGACACAAUGCAAGUCGAACGAUGAUCCCAGCUUGCUGGGGGAUUAGUGGCGAACGGGUGAGUAACACGUGAGUAACCUGCCCUUAACUCUGGGAUAAGCCUGGGAAACUGGGUCUAAUACCGGAUAUGACUCCUCAUCGCAUGGUGGGGGGUGGAAAGCUUUAUUGUGGUUUUGGAUGGACUCGCGGCCUAUCAGCUUGUUGGUGAGGUAAUGGCUCACCAAGGCGACGACGGGUAGCCGGCCUGAGAGGGUGACCGGCCACACUGGGACUGAGACACGGCCCAGACUCCUACGGGAGGCAGCAGUGGGGAAUAUUGCACAAUGGGCGAAAGCCUGAUGCAGCGACGCCGCGUGAGGGAUGACGGCCUUCGGGUUGUAAACCUCUUUCAGUAGGGAAGAAGCGAAAGUGACGGUACCUGCAGAAGAAGCGCCGGCUAACUACGUGCCAGCAGCCGCGGUAAUACGUAGGGCGCAAGCGUUAUCCGGAAUUAUUGGGCGUAAAGAGCUCGUAGGCG
rnacentral:rRNA from 1 species